GCGGGCGUGGCGGAAUUGGCAGACGCGUAUGGUUCAGGUCCAUAUGGUGCUUUUGCACUGUGAAAGUUCAAAUCUUUUCGCCCGCACCA
rnacentral:tRNA from 1 species